rnacentral:tRNA from 1 species
GCCUGUGUGGCUCAGUAGAUAGAGCAUCAGCCUGUGGACUGAAGGGUCCCGGGUUCGAUUCCGGUCAAGGGCA